AACGAAAAACUAUGAAAAAGCUGUCCAACUCAAUUGGAACAGUCCCCAGGCAAGUAUUUUUAGAACUGUGAAAUUAAAUAUUUUUAUUCCAUUUAAAAUUGGAACCCUAAAAUCUUGCUCAUCACAGUUUCGUCCUUUUCUUCUAUUCUAGUGUUAUCUUCUACUGCCAUUUUUCUAUCAUUAACUCUUGGAUGAUUUGCUUGAGAAUUUGUGAAUAUGUUUAUGUUUAAAAUAUUGGUGGCAACUUCAUGAUAAAUAAUUUUUUUUCUAGGCACUCAACAACUGGGGACUGGCUCUGUAGGUACUUUUAGUUAAACAAAGUUGCCUGGAAUCAACUUUGUUUUUCAUUCAAGUAGUAUUCUCUAUUUUGAGAGCAGUUACACAAAGGUUUUAUUUUGCAAUUUAUGUGGUUAUGUUGGAGCUUUCAUUUAGUUUCAUGUUAUAAAUGGGCAUUUUUAGGAACUCAGUGCAAUUGUUCCUGUACGAGAAAAGCAAGCAAUUGUGAAAACCGCAGUCAAUAAGUAUGGAUUAGCAGAGGACACGUCAAGAACUGGGGGAUCAGUCAAUGUAAAAGAAGUUUCAUGUAAUGAAUUAUUCAGCCCAUCUGCAAUUUACAUUGCCGCUGCUCAUGCAUUGAAGCCGACUUACUCAUGAUCAGAGACCUCUUCGACCGUUACUCC